AAUUUACUUGGAAAUAGCCUGUGUUAGGAGACAGGGGUAAUUUAAGGCAGUGUAGCACAAUCUUUUGCAUAUUCUAUUGCGAGAAACAUGAUGAAAAUAUUAAUUUGGAUUGUCGCCACCAUCUGCAGUUGUAAAUGCUUUCUCGCCUUCCCCAACCACAAUGCUUACAACCCAAGGUCCCUCAAGAAACGAAAUCACGGGGCGUACGAGAGUUGUGCGAGCAUUCAGCAGCUAGAAGUUUUUCAGGCUCAAUUUUACGACUCUGUGGACAAAAAUCAAGACGGGAAAGCUACGUUUGAGGAAGUGAAGAGAUAUCUAGCCAAAUACAACCCUGUCAUUAAAGACUCAGAAGUGGAGAGGUUUAUAGCUCGCCGGGACGUAAAUGGUAACGGAGUCAUCGACUUUGUUCCGGAUUACGUGGCGGAGGUUCUGUCUCCUACAUACAGCCUCAACAAGGCCAAGGAGUGGUUCCAGCUGGAGGACUCCAACAGAGACGGCCUGGUGUCCAGGGACGAGCUGCUCACGAUCGCCAUGAACAUCGGCAUGACCCCUAAACAGGCCGCAGAAACCGUGGAUCUGUUCUAUAUGACUGGGGACAUCAACGGCGACGGGAAACUCAACUGGAAAGAAUAUUCUUCUGUUGUGAUGUGAUGAGAUGAGAACCUUUGGAUUCCAACGCUGGUUGAACUUUUGCAUAUACUGUAGCUUGUGGUUUGUAAAAAUUGCUUGAAAAUAAACCAGUACCGACUUC
rnacentral:misc_RNA from 1 species